rnacentral:rRNA from 1 species
GACGAACGCUGGCGGCGUGCUUAACACAUGCAAGUCGAACGGAAAGGCCCCGUUUGGGGUACUCGAGUGGCGAACGGGUGGGUAACACGUGAGUAACCUGCCCUUGACUUCGGGAUAACUUCAGUAAACUGGGGCUAAUACCGGAUAGGAAUCCUUGCUGCAUGGUGGGGGUUGGAAAGCUUCGGCGGUUUUGGGUGGACUCGCGGCUUAUCAGCUUGUUGGUGGGGUAGUGGCUUACCAAGGCUUUGACGGGUAGCCGGCCUGAGAGGGCGACCGGCCACAGUGGGACUGAGAUACGGCCCAGACUCCUACGGGGGGGAGCAGUGGGGAAUGUUGCCCAAUGGGCGGGAGCCUGAUUCAGAAACGCCGCGGGCGGGAUGACGGCCUUCGGGUUGGAAACCGCUUUCAGCAGGGGCGAAGCUGGUGGUGACGGUACCGGCAGAAGAAGCACCGGCUAACUACGUG